GAUUGCGACCAUACCAGCACUAAUGCACCGGAUCCCAUCAGAACUCCGCAGUUAAGCGUGCUUGGGCGAGAGUAGUACUAGGAUGGGUGACCCCCUGGGAAGUCCUCGUGUUGCAACCCC
rnacentral:rRNA from 1 species